rnacentral:rRNA from 1 species
GACGAACGCUGGCGGCGUGCCUAAUACAUGCAAGUUGAGCGCUGAAGGUUGGUACUUGUACCGACUGGAUGAGCAGCGAACGGGUGAGUAACGCGUGGGGAAUCUGCCUUUGAGCGGGGGACAACAUUUGGAAACGAAUGCUAAUACCGCAUAAAAACUUUAAACACAAGUUUUAAGUUUGAAAGAUGCAAUUGCAUCACUCAAAGAUGAUCCCGCGUUGUAUUAGCUAGUUGGUGAGGUAAAGGCUCACCAAGGCGAUGAUACAUAGCCGACCUGAGAGGGUGAUCGGCCACAUUGGGACUGAGACACGGCCCAAACUCCUACGGGAGGCAGCAGUAGGGAAUCUUCGGCAAUGGACGAAAGUCUGACCGAGCAACGCCGCGUGAGUGAAGAAGGUUUUCGGAUCGUAAAACUCUGCUGGUGGAGAAGAACGUUGGUGAGAGUGGAAAGCUCAUCAAGUGACGGUAACUACCCAGAAAGGGACGGCUAACUACGU